CGAUGCAGCCUGUGUAGCAGCACCAACCACGGAGGCAGCUCUUUGGAAAGAAAGUGGCUCAGCCAGGACUGAAAGGCGCACGCUCUCUGAUGCUUUACAUAUAUCAACUCUACCAAGGAGCUAUCACCAUGCACACUUCCUAGUUAAGGAGACUGAGGCCUCCAGAAAAUAAAGUGCCCCACGUUACAGGUCUGGCACCUGCAACUGGAUUGUGUCUGAAACAUCCUGAAAGAAGAGUCCACGAGGCUCAGGGGACACCUUGUACCACACCAUGCUCCACGGCCCUUGUUGACUCAUUUAUAUGGUUUUUCUUGACCUCUAUCGUGAGCGUGAAUUCAAACCCUUUAGGAAAGGAAGACAGGUUUCCCAACAAACCUAUAACUCAUGGUACAGUGUCUCUGCAGACAAAUUGACAUUCCAUGGGAAGCCAAGGGUUUAUUUCUGAGGGUAAUGAUAAAAUCACUGUUUUUAAGGCCUUCACUUGCCCUGAUUUGACUUCACAUUCUCAGGAGGCCUGCACCCCCAUUCUCUCCAGAACAUCGACUUUAAUUUAAAGGUCUGUCAAAGAUCUUUGAAGGCCUAAAUCUUUCCCUUCCAGC